rnacentral:rRNA from 1 species
CUACCACGGUGACGCAUCGGUAGCUGGACUGCACAGGAUGGAGCAGCCACACUGAGAACUGAGAGACAGACCACACUCCAACGGGAGGCAGCAGUGGGGAAUAUUGGACAAUGGGGGCAACCCUGAUCCAACAAUGCCGCGUGUGUGAAGAAGGCCUGAGGGUUGUAAAGCACUUUCAGUGGGGAGGAGGAUUGAAUGGUUAAGAGCUGUUUAAUUGGACGUUACCCACAGAAGAAGCACCGGCUAACUCCGUGCCAGCAGCCGCGGUAAUACGGAGGGUGCGAGCGUUAAUCGGAAUUACUGGGCGUAAAGGGUGCGUAGGUGGUUUGAUAAGUUAUCUGUAAAAGCCCAGGGCUCAACCUUGGAAGGCCAGAUAAAACUGUUAGACUCGAGUAUGGGAGAGGGUAGUGGAAUUUCCGGUGUAGCGGUGAAAUGCGUAGAGAUCGGAAGGAACACCAGUGGCGAAGGCGGCUACCUGGCCUAAUACUGACACUGAAGUACGAAAGCGUGGGGAGCAAACAGGAUUAGAUACCCUGGUAGUCCACGCUGUAAACGAUGUCAACUAGCUGUUGGUCAUAUGAAUGUGAUUAGUGGCGAAGCUAACGCGAUAAGUUGACCGCCUGGGGAGUACGAUCGCAAGAUUAAAACUCAAAGGAAUUGAUGGGGGGCCGCACAAGCGGUGGAGCAUGUGGUUUAAUUCGAUGCAACGCGAAGAACCUUACCUACCCUUGACAUACAUUGAAUUUGUCAGAAAAGCUUAAGUGCCUUCGGGAACACUGAUACACGUGCUGCUAGGUUGUCGUCAGCUCGUGUCGUGAGAUGGUGGUUAAGUACCAUAACGACGCAACGUUAUCGUAAGUUGCAGCACGUGAUGGUGGG